UGGGGAAUAUUGGACAAUGGGGGGAACCCUGAUCCAGCCAUGCCGCGUGUGUGAAGAAGGCCUUAUGGUUGUAAAGCACUUUAAGCGAGGAGGAGGGUACUGGUAUUAAUACUACCAGGUACUGGACGUUACUCGCAGAAUAAGCACCGGCUAACUCUGUGCCAGCAGCCGCGGUAAUACAGAGGGUGCGAGCGUUAAUCGGAUUUACUGGGCGUAAAGCGUGCGUAGGCGGCUAAUUGAGUCGGAUGUGAAAUCCCCGAGCUUAACUUGGGAAUUGCAUUCGAUACUGGUUAGCUAGAGUGUGGGAGAGAGUGGUAGAAUUCCAGGUGUAGCGGUGAAAUGCGUAGAUAUAGGAAGGAACACCAGUGGCGAAGGCGACCACCUGGGCUCAUACUGCCACUGAGGUGCGAAAGCGUGGGGAGCAAACAGG
rnacentral:rRNA from 1 species